rnacentral:lncRNA from 1 species
UCAUUCAAUUUUGCACCUGAUUAGUUUUGUCAUUUCUCAUCCAAACCCCACAACUUAGAAGUCCCUUCUUUAUAAGUAAAGAAUCGUGUCAGAUAUAAAGAGGUUUUAAAUGACAUUUUAUUGGAAAUGAUAGGGUGCACUUAAUUUCUGUUCUUAUGGAAACCCACCCCCCACUAUUUCUGGAUUGGAAAUCUUUUCCUGCAAGAUAAAGGAAUAGUAGUUGUACAUUUCUUUGCCACUAAUUACUUUGCGAUGGACUGACUUAGGCCACUUAAACAAACUUUCAGGCACUAUCCCGUGAGAAGUGGUUGGACUGGCAUUCUCUGAUUAUUGUGAAGUAUUAGUUCUAGUAUGUUGCCUUGUGCACUUCAUAAUUGUCUCCCAAUUUCGUCACAUUUCAUUAACGAAUAUGCACGAAUAUGCUGGAAGCCCAGUCCUUUACAAUAUAGUUAUGUUGUUUCUUUGGCCUAAUAAUUUACAACUCCUACAAGUUAUGUUGUGGCACUACUUGUUUGACAUGUCUUUAUGCAUACCUUUUGAAUAUGAAAGAGCGAAGGCUAUGGUCCUCUCUUGGAAUUUUUAGUGGUCUAUAGAGUUUGAUAAGUGUCGUUGUGCCCUGGAUUUACUGAUAGAUGUGCCAAGUACAAAUUAUUAAAAUUAUAAGGCGCCUUUGGAUGUGCGUUCAAACACUUGGGGGUGGGAUUGGAUGGGAUUUUUUGCUGUCGCGAGAGAGAGGGGGGAGGGGUCGACAUGUAUCUGUGUCCAACAUGUUUGAAGUCUCACCUUCUUGGAAGUCUUUAUACUUGUUAAUUGCACCGUCAAAAAUAGAAAUGCAUGAAUCCACGACAUCAAUCCUGGUAUCAGAAUGAUAUGGUACCUAGUAUUUGGUUGAACGUUUUGAAACUUGUUUCAGGAUAUUUUUAAAAGAAGCCAUUUUUUUUCUUUGGGGUAAGUAAGCGAUUAGUUUAUGACUAUAUAUAUUUAUUACAAUAAAGCCCAAUACACUAUCAAAAAGGGCACACAAAAAGACUACUGAACAAGCUAACCGCCAAGAGGGAAAAACACAUAGCUAGCAAGAAAGAACACCCUCUAGCACAAACCCGUGAGGAAAUAGGCUUAAAUUUUACAUGUACUUAGCUUGAUAAUGAGAUUGGUAAUUGCUUUGUCUCUUGUAACCUUUAAGUGUCUAAAUCUUCUCCUUAGUCACACAAUUUGUGGCCUAGGGUCCGUGUAUGUGCGCCAAAUUUGUGAAUUGCCGAAUUUACCCCAAAUUCGGGGUUAAUUAUGAAUUACGUUAGGUCAAUUCGCGAAUUUGUUGUUUAAGUGGGCGGAUUUAUUAUUUAGAAUAAGUUAUGUACUCUCCUGUACAUAAUUAACCGCUGCUAUAAUAAAUGCUGUUACAAAAGAUUUAUUAAGACACGUUAUGACUAGGAAUUGAACACAGGACAUCACGCAUGGAACAAUAGCUCCCAAACCACUGAGCUGCUACACUUCAUAUACCUAUAAAGCUACUUUUUAUCAUUUUUGUCUUUUCCAUAAUAUUAUAGGUAUUCAAAAAUAUUGCAUAGUGCAAAUACUUAAAUCAUGCUCAUCUAAACAAAAAACUAUGGCAUGAAAAGUUUAUGAAUACACCAUUAAUUUUUUUUUUAUACUAUGAAUAUUUACCUAUAUAAAUAUAUAAAAAUAUAAAAUAGACACGCUCUCACGAUGCUUUCAACUCUAUAAAUUUUAAGAAUAGCCGCUCUCACGCUUUCCGCCCCCGCCAUGCUAAUUUGUGACUUAGAUUUUCUCCAUAUUUUUUUAAAAAAGUUUUUACGCUACGAGAAGUAGUGUUACGUAUCUACUCCACCAAUACCUCUCAACAACUUGGCAUUUGCCACACACGAAUGAAAAUAUCCAUCUGAAAGGAUUUUCGGAGGCCCUUUGAGGUUUGUACAUCGACAAAGAGUGAGCUCAAGACCAUCCUCGGAGGAGGAUGGCUUCUAUUUCCUUCUUUGGGAACUUGUUGCUCUCCCUAGGAGAAGGGUAUUUGGUACUCUCAUUUGCUUCGUCAUUACUCCUUUGUUUUCCCAACCCUCCUUUUUUUCCUCUCAGAGGGGUGUCGGCUACAUUGUCAACACAAGGAUAAGUCCAAUAUUCUUUCCUUUCACUCUCCUCUAUUGGGUAACACAAAGUAAGGACCUCAAAAAAAUUGAGGAGACUUUAGCUUUUCACUCUUUUUUUUCUCUUCAUUUGAUGAAGCAUUUGCGACCGGCUUUUUUCCUUCCCUGCUCUUAUCUGUACUCUCUUGGAUAAUUUUGGGUCUUUGGAGUGUUCAAGAUUGGCUCCGUUAAUUUGCAAGUGGUCGAGCUUUCUUGGAGAUGGAUCCGAGCUGGGCUUGAGCUUGAACCAAGCAGCAGUACUAGAGCUUGACUCAUUAUGUUGUCAUCAAGGUUGAGGUUGGCUCGAGUUGGUUCAAGUAUCAAAGGAAGUGUCACAGUCCAUGCGCUGAACUAAUGAG